rnacentral:lncRNA from 1 species
UUUAAUAUCCACAUGUUGCUCAAUUGACUAGUGUGUUUAAUGGACGCGCGCUUAUGAGUUUUUUAAUAUCCACAUGUUGCUCACGUUUUUUCCUAUUUUUUAUUUCUGAUUUUUAUUUCUAUUUUAUUUCUUUUAUACCAGUUCAUUUCAAAAAAUCAUAUCUCAUUCAUUAUUAAUCCAAAAAAUGUGAGACCAAUUGCAU